rnacentral:rRNA from 1 species
AUUGAACGCUGGCGGCAUGCCUUACACAUGCAAGUCGAACGGCAGCAUGAUCUAGCUUGCUAGAUUGAUGGCGAGUGGCGAACGGGUGAGUAAUACAUCGGAACGUGCCCCGUAGUGGGGGAUAACUAGUCGAAAGAUUAGCUAAUACCGCAUACGACCUGAGGGUGAAAGUGGGGGACCGCAAGGCCUCAUGCUAUAGGAGCGGCCGAUGUCUGAUUAGCUAGUUGGUGAGGUAAAGGCUCACCAAGGCGACGAUCAGUAGCUGGUCUGAGAGGACGAUCAGCCCCACUGGGACUGAGACACGGCCCAGACUCCUACGGGAGGCAGCAGUGGGGAAUUUUGGACAAUGGGGGCAGCCCUGAUCCAGCAAUGCCGCGUGUGUGAAGAAGGCCUUCGGGUUGUAAAGCACUUUUGUCCGGAAAGAAAUCGCACUUACUAAUAUUAGGUGUGGAUGACGGUACCGGAAGAAUAAGGACCGGCUAACUACGUGCCAGCCGCCGCGGUAACAC